CGGACCGGCGCACGGGUGAGUAACGCGUAUGCAACUUACCUAUCAGGAGGGGAGAACCCGGCGAAAGUCGGACUAAUACCGCAUAAAGCAGGGAUCCCGCAUGGGAAUAUUUGCUAAAGAUUCAUCGCUGAUAGAUAGGCAUGCGUUCCAUUAGGCAGUUGGCGGGGUAACGGCCCACCAAACCGACGAUGGAUAGGGGUUCUGAGAGGAAGGUCCCCCACAUUGGUACUGAGACACGGACCAA
rnacentral:rRNA from 1 species